UAUUAAUUUUAUUGUGGAAAAAAUAUUUACAAUAGUUAAUUGGUAAUGAAACGUUAUUCGUUUCUAAAUAUAUCUAGUUUUUAAAGAAAUAGAUUUAAUCUACUUAAUUUUUUCUAAUUUAUUUAGUUUUUAGUAUAUUAGAGGGAUUAGGAAAUAUUUUGAGGGAUGAGCUUCAAAGUAAAUUUUUAUAAUUAAUUUAAUUUUUUUAUAAAUAAUAGGAUUAGAAUUUUCCAUUUUUAAAAGGAUGUUAUAGUCAAUUUUAAAUUUAUUAAUAUUUUUAUUUAGUUUAAGUUUUUUAUUUAAAUUUAAUUUUUAAUUUUUUUUUGUUAGUAAUAAUGAUAAAAUUAGUAUAUAAAAUUGUAUGUUUAUAUUAUUAGAUACAGGUUAAUAAAAGGAACUCGGCAAAAGAUUUUUCACCUGUUUAUUAAAAACAUGGCCUUUUGAUUAUUAUUUAAGGUCUGGCCUGCCCACUGAGUAUUUAAAUGGCCGCGGUAUCUU
rnacentral:rRNA from 1 species